CUUAGCCUACGGGAGGCAGCAGUGAGGAAUAUUGGUCAAUGGGCUUACGCCUGAACCAGCCAAGUCGCGUGAGGGAAGACUGCCCUAUGGGUUGUAAACCUCUUUUGUCAGGGAGCAACGCCGGCUACGUGUAGCCGGACUGAGAGUACCUGAAGCAAAAGCCUCGGCUAACUCCGUGCCAGCAGCCGCGGUAAUACGGAGGAUGCGAGCGUUAUCCGGAUUUAUUGGGUUUAAAGGGUGCGUAGGCGGACUGCCAAGUCAGCGGUACAAU
rnacentral:rRNA from 1 species